rnacentral:rRNA from 1 species
AACGAACGCUGGCGGCAGGCCUAACACAUGCAAGUCGAACGCUGUAGCAAUACAGAGUGGCAGACGGGUGAGUAACGCGUGGGAACCUACCCUUUGGUUCGGAAUAGCUCAGGGAAACUUGAGGUAAUACCGGAUAAGCCCUUCGGGGGAAAGAUUUAUCGCCAAAGGAUGGGCCCGCGUCGGAUUAGCUAGUUGGUGGGGUAGCGGCCUACCAAGGCGACGAUCCGUAGCUGGUCUGAGAGGAUGAUCAGCCACACUGGGACUGAGACACGGCCCAGACUCCUACGGGAGGCAGCAGUGGGGAAUAUUGGACAAUGGGGGCAACCCUGAUCCAGCCAUGCCGCGUGAGUGACGAAGGUCUUCGGAUUGUAAAGCUCUUUUGGCGGGGAAGAUAAUGACGGUACCCGCAGAAUAAGCCCCGGCUAACUUCGUGCCAGCCGCCGCGGUAACAC